GAUGAAGAACGCAGCGAAAUGCGAUAAGUAGUGUGAAUUGCAGAAUUCCGUGAAUCAUCGAAUCUUUGAACGCACAUUGCGCUUCCUGGCAUUCCAGGGAGCAUGCCUGUUCGAGCGUCAUUGAAAAAGCCUUCGGGUGAGCUUUGGCUCGCCCGGUCCUGGGGGGAUGGGCCAUCUUCCGGAUGCCCACCCCCCGAAAUCCAUUGGCGGACGACCACCGGAGGAACUGCUGGCGUAGUGAGCGAUGCUUUCGCCAGUGGCCACCGAGGGACAGUCCUGCCAACAUAAACCCCCCACAUCCAAAGGUUGACCUCGGAUCAGGUAGGGAUACCCGCUGAACUAAAGCAUAUCAAUAAGCGGAGGA
rnacentral:misc_RNA from 1 species